UGCAUCAUGAUUUACAUUUGAGUGAGUGGCGAACUGGUGAGUAACACGUGGGAAACCUGCCCAGAAGCGGGGGAUAACACCUGGAAACAGAUGCUAAUACCGCAUAACAACUUGGACCGCAUGGUCCGAGUUUGAAAGAUGGCUUCGGCUAUCACUUUUGGAUGGUCCCGCGGCGUAUUAGCUAGAUGGUGGGGUAACGGCUCACCAUGGCAAUGAUACGUAGCCGACCUGAGAGGGUAAUCGGCCACAUUGGGACUGAGACACGGCCCAAACUCCUACGGGAGGCAGCAGUAGGGAAUCUUCCACAAUGGACGAAAGUCUGAUGGAGCAACGCCGCGUGAGUGAAGAAGGGUUUCGGCUCGUAAAACUCUGUUGUUAAAGAAGAACAUAUCUGAGAGUAACUGUUCAGGUAUUGACGGUAUUUAACCAGAAAGCCACGGCUAACUACGUGCCAGCAGCCGCGGUAAUACGUAGGUGGCAAGCGUUGUCCGGAUUUAUUGGGCGUAAAGCGAGCGCAGGCGGUUUUUUAAGUCUGAUGUGAAAGCCUUCGGCUCAACCGAAGAAGUGCAUCGGAAACUGGGAAACUUGAGUGCAGAAGAGGACAGUGGAACUCCAUGUGUAGCGGUGAAAUGCGUAGAUAUAUGGAAGAACACCAGUGGCGAAGGCGGCUGUCUGGUCUGUAACUGACGCUGAGGCUCGAAAGUAUGGGUAGCAAACAGGAUUAGAUACCCUGGUAGUCCAUACCGUAAACGAUGAAUGCUAAGUGUUGGAGGGUUUCCGCCCUUCAGUGCUGCAGCUAACGCAUUAAGCAUUCCGCCUGGGGAGUACGGCCGCAAGGCUGAAACUCAAAGGAAUUGACGGGGGCCCGCACAAGCGGUGGAGCAUGUGGUUUAAUUCGAAGCUACGCGAAGAACCUUACCAGGUCUUGACAUACUAUGCAAAUCUAAGAGAUUAGACGUUCCCUUCGGGGACAUGGAUACAGGUGGUGCAUGGUUGUCGUCAGCUCGUGUCGUGAGAUGUUGGGUUAAGUCCCGCAACGAGCGCAACCCUUAUUAUCAGUUGCCAGCAUUAAGUUGGGCACUCUGGUGAGACUGCCGGUGACAAACCGGAGGAAGGUGGGGAUGACGUCAAAUCAUCAUGCCCCUUAUGACCUGGGCUACACACGUGCUACAAUGGAUGGUACAACGAGUUGCGAACUCGCGAGAGUAAGCUAAUCUCUUAAAGCCAUUCUCAGUUCGGAUUGUAGGCUGCAACUCGCCUACAUGAAGUCGGAAUCGCUAGUAAUCGCGGAUCAGCAUGCCGCGGUGAAUACGUUCCCGGGCCUUGUACACACCGCCCGUCACACCAUGAGAGUUUGUAACAC
rnacentral:rRNA from 2 species